AACCUCAGACCAAUACCCAGAGAUUCUCACAUUAAAGAGCAAAGUCAACAGAAAAUCAGCCCAGCAGCCGUAGGAGAGGAGUCAUCCCCAGGCCGGCCCCAGUCUCUGCUGGACAACGCUAGCACCUCAGACAGUCAGGCAGUGAUGAACAUUAUGAACACAGAACAAAGCCAAAAUAGUAUUGUUUCCAGAAUUAAAGUGUUUGAGGGUCAGACAAACAUAGAAACCUCAGGACUGCCCAAGAAACCAG
rnacentral:lncRNA from 1 species